rnacentral:rRNA from 1 species
UACGUAGGGUGCGAGCGUUAAUCGGAAUUACUGGGCGUAAAGCGUGCGCAGGCGGUUUCGUAAGACAGAGGUGAAAUCCCCGGGCUCAACCUGGGAACUGCCUUUGUGACUGCGAAGCUAGAGUACGGCAGAGGGGGUGGAAUUCCACGUGUAGCAGUGAAAUGCGUAGAGAUGUGGAGGAACACCGAUGGCGAAGGCAGCCCCCUGGGCCGAUACUGACGCUCAUGCACGAAAGCGUGGGUAGCAAACAGG